UACGUAGGUGGCAAGCGUUAUCCGGAAUUACUGGGCGUAAAGCGCGCGUAGGCGGCUUUGUAAGUUAGAGGUGAAAGCCCGGAGCUUAACUCCGGAAUUGCCUUUAAGACUGCAUCGCUAGAAUUGUGGAGAGGUAAGUGGAAUUCCGAGUGUAGAGGUGAAAUUCGUAGAUAUUCGGAAGAAACACCAGUGGCGAAGGCGACUUACUGGACACAUAUUGACGCUGAGGUGCGAAAGCGUGGGGAGCAAACAGG
rnacentral:rRNA from 1 species